GCUCGAGUGGCGAACGGGUGAGUAACACGUGAGUAACCUGCCCUUGACUUUGGGAUAACUUCAGGAAACUGGGGCUAAUACCGGAUAGGAUCUCCUGCUGCAUGGUGGGGGUUGGAAAGUUUCGGCGGUUGGGGAUGGACUCGCGGCUUAUCAGCUUGUUGGUGGGGUAGUGGCUUACCAAGGCUUUGACGGGUAGCCGGCCUGAGAGGGUGACCGGCCACAUUGGGACUGAGAUACGGCCCAG
rnacentral:rRNA from 1 species